AAUUAGCCCCGAUUGUAGUGGAAAUCCUUUUCUUUUUUCUUUUAAAAAAGAAAAGAUUGCAACGAAAAGCGGGAAAAUGG
rnacentral:sRNA from 1 species